CCAAGAAAUAGAGGUCGCGGUCGAUCACAAACCCUGAGGAGUGCCCUAACACGUUGAAUCAGGCUCAAGGAUCACCGCCGAAAUGGUGCGUUAUAUACGGGAUAACGUACUGUUGGGCCAGCGGGUGAAUAACUCCUGGACUGUCUUAGCAUUUGCUAAGGAGCGCUAUGAUUCUG
rnacentral:ncRNA from 2 species